GCCAGGAUGCCUAAGGUUUCGGCGCCGCCACGACCGGCGUGGUCUCCCUCGGAGAAAAUCCUGACGCCCCCUUCUUCGCGCCUUGGUGGAGGGGAACACGGUAGGGCGCCGCAAGGCAUCGGGGCAGAGAUGGAGGCGCUGCACGGAGGAGAUGGAGGUGCUACGACAUUAUUGAAGGACGCGGCUACACAGUGGAGGCGAAGGAGAUGAGCAGCGGAGCAGCGGCCGUGGUGGCAAGAAAGACAUCAGCGUGAGCUCCUCAUUCCGAUUGCUGCCUCCCUUAAGUAAUUUAAUUCUAUUUCGCUUCUAGGGUUUGAUGUCAAGGAGAUUCCUAUGCCAAUGGUGUCAACAACCAGAAGUGAUGCUCUGCUGCAGCUUGGGUUUCCCACACAGUCUGAGCAUUUAUUUAUCGUGUGUUCACCUAUUAUCUACAGGGGAUAUGCAUAGAAACUUCAGAGUUUGGACUCUCCAGAUCAGGGUCCAGUUCACAUCAUCGUAGCUGAUCAACCUUCUUAGGUUGGCCUUUGUCUCUUCAGGAGCGCGGCUAAGAAGAUCAGAUUCUUGCCAUUCAGAUUGGGGAUGUCCCCCUUUCACAAAAAUGCAUGUGUUUGUGUUCAUACAUGGCAACUCAAACAUUUUCUCAUCUUAUUACUGACGCACUAGGUGAAUGUGAGCAGUUCAUUGUUAGCCUCAUCACCUCUCUGUUUCACGUUGUUGCAAAUUUAUAGCCUUGCUGAUUCAUAUGAAGAAACUAAAUUAAACUUCAUGGUAGGUACACGUCAAUCAUACAAGCAUAAGGACAUGGAAAUUAAAAGGCAAGGUGAUUAUGUGAUUUUUAUUGUGAUGCCAAAUCAUCUUCCUUGCCUGUUGGUAGCUGCUCCUAAGAGAAUAAGAUUUUUAAUUGUACCUCUUUAGAUGCAAGCAUCUUCUUAUCAGUGGAACUGCAAGGAUUUUUUUCAAAGUAAAUUGAAGUGAACUAGAUCUAUCAUUUGUACUUGAAUGCUAACUGGAUAUGCAGGGACACUGGGUAGUAAAGUUUUCUAGCAGUGCAUACGUAGAUUAAGCAGUCUGAUACUUUUCAGUGUAUUCUCACGGUUAUUCUUAGUGUAUAUUAUGCAGCUUAAGUAGAGUCACAUGAAGGUGAAGUGAAGCAACCAUGACAUGAAAGAUGAUUUUGAUGCACACAACCUAUUUAGUGAAAUACAGGUACUUGGGUUGUCUCUCCGUAAGUUCCUGUGCAAUUUAUUUAUCGUGCUGAUUGUGUGGAGUUUGGAGAGCGGCCAUAUGCAAGGGGGAGCUGUCAGGUGUUAAUUUAGAGAGUGGGUAUAUGCAUGGUAUCAUGUGAAUUACGUUGUUGAUUAUAUGGUUAGUUAUCUCAUACACCUAGAGGCAAGUUCGUAUUUACUAUCUUAUAACCUUUGUAACAUUUCAGAUUAUGAUAUCAUUUUAGUGAAAAUGUGCAUAUACUGGUUAGAGCCUUGGUCUAGAAGUAGAGGUUCUGAACUAAAUCAAAGGUAAUUCUGUUACAUCGCUGCAUAGGGCACUUGGAUGGAGGAAACUUAGUUUACCGUGGCCAGUCCAGACUGAAACCAUAUGUGUUUUUUAAAAAUUACCCAUCCUUAAAAGUUAGUGUUUCACUACUUUUAUAGUGGUUUAGCACAGAAACUUUGGAAAUGGCGGCGGACGUGGUUCUUCUGUGACGGCAGGCUGGGUCGACAUCUCGUGGCUACGGGCAUGCCUGUCACGGCUCUUGCCAGUCAGUUGUUCCUGCAUGGAUUGCUAAUGGAAAGAUCGAGGUGAUUCGGUGAAUCUACAUAAGGAGGAAGACUCGUGUACGUGGUGGACCAAGGCAGGAUCUUGGGGAUACUCGGCUAAAACAAGCUUGGAGGAGCCAAGCAAAUGCCGGUGCUAGCUUUUUGGAGGCCAUGUGUAAGGAUGACCACACCAUGCGCACCCCGCGGUGUUUCUAUGUAAUGGCCUAUCUCAGCUGCCCUUCGUUGUAUCGCUUUUUGUGUGUACUUUUUCGCUAUGCUUUUCUAAUUUAUAUUGAUUUAUAUGAACACAAAAAUUAUUAGCUUACUGUAUUGACCAAACAGAUAAAGAAAGUUCAGAACAUAACAAUCAAUUUCUUUGGCUCAAUAGGAAGAAUUGGGAACUGAUCAAUACAGUUAGUUAGUACAGACAAAUGAAAUUUCUGGUUUGCACGGAAUGAGCACUGAUUACCUCAAUGUAAUUGUAGAACCAACAUGAUGUUUGGUCAAUUCACUUCGGCGUCUACUCAAAAUAGCUCCAUAUAUUCAGUGUUGGAGUAACCUGCAGGAAUUGACGGAUCUUUAGCCAUGCUAGGUGCAAGGUACAAAUCGAGUGAAAUCAUAACAAGAGAAAAAAUGCACAUUAGGCAUGUGUAGGAUUUUUUGGGAACUUUUCUUGGCUGCACUUUGUGUUCUCCAAAAUCUUAAAAGGUUCAGUUCGGCAUCUGUAGGAUUUAUGCGAUUGCAAUGCCGAUAUGUAAAAUAAUCCUUUUGUAGCUUUUGGAUUCCAUAAACUUAAGGGAUGGCUCAUAGUAACUUAAUUUCGGCUCAUAGGGACGACUCCAUA